UGUGCGGGGGCGGCAUACGGCGACAGUUUACCUACCGCGCCGACCACAGCGCUGCCGCAGUCACCCUUCAGCAGAGCGGGCGACCACAGCGUGACUGGAUGAUAUCGUGGCACAGUCAGCGGUCCGGUGUCAUUGUCACGGACGUCGCCUUUGUCACUCCAAUGCCUGAACACUCGCGACCUCUGCACACUCGGCCUUCUGGUAGCGUCUUCAUCAUCAGAUCAUCUGCAGUGAGAGCACAAUGGGAUCUUCACAUCGGUGUUCGCCUGUUCCUAGUG
rnacentral:lncRNA from 1 species